rnacentral:lncRNA from 1 species
UUUAAACUCAUAGAACAUCUAAGAUCACAGUCAAAUUACCUACAUACUGUAUGCCUUAUGGUGCCAAUAUGGAUUCUUGCGAUUAAGGUGCAUAUCUUGCGGAUGCAGAUGCAAACUACUUUCAAUUAUCUUGAAAUUCUUUUUACUACUUGUUCAAGUAACUUCUAAGCUUAGACUAUAAAGACAUUCGCUAACAAAAGAUCGAAUGACUUCUUGUGGAAGUACAUAUUGCCUAAUAAGAUGCUACAUAUACACAUGCACUCAAGAAAAAUGUUCACAUCCUUCAUAAAACCUCUUUUUCAUCGGACCUCUUUCAUUUUUGGUACCAAACACAGUAUACUUGAUCAACAAUUCCAACCUGAUCAAGCAUCUCAAAAAUUGUUUUGGCUUGCUUCAUUUACAGCCCUAACACUCAUGUUCUACUUGCAAUUCGAUUCCUG